UCCCUGGUGGUUCAGUGGGUUAAGGAUCCAGUGUUGUUGCUGCUGUGGCUUGGGUUCAAUCCCUGGCCUGGGAA
rnacentral:tRNA from 1 species